rnacentral:rRNA from 1 species
AGUGAACGCUGGCGGUAGGCCUAACACAUGCAAGUCGAACGGCAGCACAGUAAGAGCUUGCUCUUACGGGUGGCGAGUGGCGGACGGGUGAGGAAUACAUCGGAAUCUACUUUUUCGUGGGGGAUAACGUAAGGAAACUUACGCUAAUACCGCAUACGACCUACGGGUGAAAGCAGGGGAUCUUCGGACCUUGCGCGAAUGAAUGAGCCGAUGUCGGAUUAGCUAGUUGGCGGGUUAAAGGCCCACCAAGUCGAGGAUCCGUAGCUGGUCUGAGAGGAUGAUAACCCACACUGGAACUGAGACGCGGUCCAGACGCCUAAGGGAGGCAGCAGUGGGGAAUAUUGGACAAUGGGGGGAAGCCUGAUCCAGCCAUACCGCGUGUGUGAAGAAGGCCUUCGGGUUGUAAAGCCCUUUUGUUGGGAAAGAAAAGCAGCAGGUUAAUACCCCGCUGUUCUGACGGUACCCAAAGAAUAAGCACCGGCUAACUUCGUG